UACGUAGGGUGCGAGCGUUGUCCGGAAUUAUUGGGCGUAAAGAGCUUGUAGGCGGUCUGUCGCGUCUGCUGUGAAAAUCCGGGGCUCAACCCCGGACUUGCAGUGGGUACGGGCAGACUAGAGUGUGGUAGGGGAGACUGGAAUUCCUGGUGUAGCGGUGAAAUGCGCAGAUAUCAGGAGGAACACCGAUGGCGAAGGCAGGUCUCUGGGCCACUACUGAC
rnacentral:rRNA from 1 species